GGGGAUGUGGUUUAGUGGUAUAACGUUCGCUUAGCAUGCGAAAGGUCCGGGGUUCGAUUCCCCGCCUCUCCA
rnacentral:tRNA from 2 species